rnacentral:rRNA from 1 species
AUUGAACGCUGGCGGCAUGCUUUACACAUGCAAGUCGAACGGUAACAGGCCUUCGGGUGCUGCCGAGUGGCGAACGGGUGAGUAAUGCAUCGGAACGUGCCCAGAGGUGGGGGAUAACGCAGCGAAAGCUGUGCUAAUACCGCAUGUGAUCUGAGGAUGAAAGCGGGGGACCAGGCAGCAAUGUUUGGCCUCGCGCCUUUGGAGCGGCCGAUGUCAGAUUAGGUAGUUGGUGGGGUAAAGGCCUACCAAGCCGACGAUCUGUAGCUGGUCUGAGAGGACGACCAGCCACACUGGGACUGAGGCACGGCCCAGACUCCUACGGGAGGCAGCAGUGGGGAAUUUUGGACAAUGGGCGCAAGCCUGAUCCAGCAAUGCCGCGUGCGGGAAGAAGGCCUUCGGGUUGUAAACCGCUUUUGUACGGAACGAAAAGGCUCUGGCUAAUACCUGGGGCUGAUGACGGUACCGUAAGAAUAAGCACCGGCUAACUACGUG